AUUGAACGCUGGCGGCAUGCCUUACACAUGCAAGUCGAACGGUAACAGGUCUUCGGAUGCUGACGAGUGGCGAACGGGUGAGUAAUACAUCGGAACGUGCCUAGUAGUGGGGGAUAGCUACUCGAAAGAGUGGCUAAUACCGCAUGAGAUCUACGGAUGAAAGCAGGGGAUCGCAAGACCUUGUGCUACUAGAGCGGCCGAUGGCAGAUUAGGUAGUUGGUGGGAUAAAAGCUUACCAAGCCGACGAUCUGUAGCUGGUCUGAGAGGACGAUCAGCCACACUGGGACUGAGACACGGCCCAGACUCCUACGGGAGGCAGCAGUGGGGAAUUUUGGACAAUGGGCGCAAGCCUGAUCCAGCAAUGCCGCGUGCAGGAUGAAGGCCUUCGGGUUGUAAACUGCUUUUGUACGGAACGAAAAGCCCUGGAUUAAUACCCUGGGGUCAUGACGGUACCGUAAGAAUAAGCACCGGCUAACUACGUGCCAGCAGCCGCGGUAAUAC
rnacentral:rRNA from 1 species